AUUGAACGCUGGCGGCAUGCCUUACACAUGCAAGUCGAACGGUAACAGGUCUUCGGAUGCUGACGAGUGGCGAACGGGUGAGUAAUACAUCGGAACGUGCCUAGUAGUGGGGGAUAACUACUCGAAAGAGUGGCUAAUACCGCAUGAGAUCUACGGAUGAAAGCAGGGGAUCGCAAGACCUUGUGCUACUAGAGCGGCCGAUGGCAGAUUAGGUAGUUGGUGGGAUAAAAGCUUACCAAGCCGACGAUCUGUAGCAGGUCUGAGAGGACGAUCAGCCACACUGGGACUGAGAAACGGCCCAGACUCCUACGGGAGGCAGCAGUGGGGAAUUUUGGACAAUGGGCGCAAGCCUGAUCCAACAAUGCCGCGUGCAGGAUGAAGGCCUUCGGGUUGUAAACUGCUUUUGUACGGAACGAAAAGCCCCGGGUUAAUACCCUGGGGUCAUGACGGUACCGUAAGAAUAAGCACCGGCUAACUACGUGCCAGCCGCCGCCGUAA
rnacentral:rRNA from 1 species